GCAGAGUUAAUUAUCUUGAAUCACGUAAGGUACAGGGUGCUGUGAAAAAGAUGCAGGUUAGAAAGCCAACUAUUCUGAUGAAAUAUUCAAAUAAUGUGGUAAAUCCAAAUAAUGUCUUAAACAAAUACUUAAUUAAACGUCUUAAGCAUAGUCAUUCACUUGUUUUAAACAGGGCUCUCUGAAACACUUAAUUAUGCGUAUUUGUACGCAUAAAUUUGAAAAAGAACGCAUGUUCCAAACCAAUCGAGAGUCCCUGGUACGCACGUUUUUUUGCAAUAAAAAUGUGUACAAAUAACGAAAAUUGCGUCAUAUCAAGCAGCUGAAAUGUACCAAAAUUGUCCACCAUUCAAAUCCGGACUGGUUUUCAAUUUGGUUUCAUUGUCAGCGUAAGCAUUUAAACAAAAAGCGAAACCCGGUCUGCACCAUGUAAGCGACCACGCAUGACCUUUUUUGUUAUGGAAGCGUGCAUGCUAGCUGGGCCAAUCAAUAUCAAGCUCGCUUACACCCGAGAUAACUUUGUUGAAUGAAAUGUUAGAAUGGGCGGAGCUAACAGUUCAUAAUCCGAGUAUGACGCAAUAUACACUGAAAGCACGCGCUGUAACUAAACAAAACCAAAAUAUUCCGAUACAUUUUCUACCAGAGUGAUAAUCCGGUAAUAUAAUUAUGAAUGAAAGUCACGGAUCUUAUCGACAGAACAGCCGAAAGUUAUUAUACCCCCACAAACGAAGUUUAGGGGGUAUAUAGGAGUGAACUUGUCUGUCUGUUGGUCGGUCGGUGGGUCUGUUAGUCUGUCUGUCGGUCUGUAUUAAGUGUCCGCCCUCUAAAUCAAGUAGUUUUCAUUUGAUCUUCACCAAACUUGGUCAGAAGUUGUAUCUACAUGAUGGCUAGGCCAAGUUCGAACAUGGGCCUUGCCAGGUCAAAAACUAGGUCAUGGGGUCACUUAGUGCAUUUUGAACAUUCAGCAUGUUGUCCGCUCUCUAAUUAUGCCCCCCUUCGAAGAAGAGGGGGUAUAUUGCUUUGCUCAUGUCGGUCGGUAGGUCGGUCGGUCCGUCCACCAGGUGGUUUUCGGAUGAUAACUCAAGAACGCUUGGGGCUAGGAUCAUGAAACUUCAUAGGUACAUUGAUCAUGACUCGCAGAUGAACCCUAUUGAUUUUGAGGUCACUUGGUCAAAGGUCAAGGUCAGGGUGACCCGAAAUAGUAAAAUGGUUUCCGGAUGAUAACUCAAGAACGCAUACGCCUAGGAUCAUGAAACUUCAUGGGUAGAUUGAUCAUGACUGGCAGAUGACCCCUAUUGAUUUUGAGGUCACUAGGUCAAAGGUCAAGGUCACGGUGACCCGGAAUAGUAAAAUGGUUUCCGGAUGAUAACUCAAGAACGCAUACGCCUAGGAUCAUGAAACUUCAUGGGUAGAUUGAUCAUGACUUCGCAGAUGACCCCUAUUGAUUUUGAGGUCACUAGGUCAAAGGUCAAGGUCACGGUGACCCGAAAUAGUAAAAUGAUUUUCGGAUGAUAACUCAAGAACGCAUACGCCUAGGAUCAUGAAACUUCAUGGGUAGAUUGAUCAUGACUCCCAGAUGACCCCUAUUGAUUUUGAGGUCACUAGGUCAAAGGUCAAGGUCACGGUGACCCGAAAUAGUAAAAUUAUUUUCGGAUGAUAAUUCAAGAACGCAUAUGCCUAGGAUCAUGAAACUUUAUAGGUAGAUUGAUCAUGACUCGCAGAUGACCCCUAUUGAUUUUUAGGUCACUAGGUCAAAGGUCAAGGUCACGGUGACCCGAAAUAGUAAAAUGAUUUUCGGAUGAUAACUCAAGAACGCAUAUGCCUAGGAUCAUGAAACUUCAUAGAUUGAUCAUGACUCGCAGAUGACCUCUAUUGAUUUUGAGGUCACAAGGUCAAAGGUCAAGGUCACGGUUACCCGAAAUAGUAAAAUGAUUUUCGGAUGAUAACUCAAGAACGCUUUUGCCUAGGAUCAUGACACUUCAUAGGUACAUUGAUCGUGACUUGCAGAUGACCCCUAUUGAUUUUCAGGUCACUAGGUCAAAGGUCAAGGUCACAGUGACAAAAGUCGUAUUCACACAAUGGCUGCCAGUACAACGGACAGCCCAUAUGGGGGGCAUGCAUGUUUUACAAACAGCCCUUGUUCAAGUAGUUUUCAUCCGAUCUUCACCAAACUUGGUCAGAAGUUGUAUCUACAUGAUGUCUAGGCCAAGUUCAAACAUGGGCCUUGCCGGGUCAAAAACUAGGUCACGGGGUCACUUAGUGCCUUUUAAACAUUCAGCAUGUUGUCCGCUCUCUAAUUCAAGUAGUUAUGCCCCCCUUCGAAAAAGAGGGGGUGUAUUGCUUUGCUCAUGUCGGUCGGUCUGUCGGUCUGUCCACCAGGUGGUUGUCAGACGAUAACUCAAGAACGCUUGGGCCUAGGAUCAUGAAACUUCAUAGGUACAUUGAUCAUGACUCGCAGAUGAUCCCUAUUGAUUUUGAGGUCACUAGGUCAAAGGUCAAGGUCACAGUGACCCGAAAUAGUAAAAUGGUUUCCGGAUGAUAACUCAAGAACGCUUAGGCCUAGGAUCAUGAAACUUGAUAGGUAGAUUGAUCAGGACUCGCAGAUGACCCCUAUUGAUUUUGAGGUCACUAGGUCAAAGGUCAAGGUCACAGGAACCCGAAAUAGUAAAAUGGUUUCCGGAUGAUAACUCAAGAACGCUUAGGCCUAGGAUCAUGAAACUUGAUAGGUAGAUUGAUCAUGACUCGCAGAUGACCCCUAUUGAUUUUCAGGUCACUAGGUCAAAGGUCAAGGUCACGAUGACCCGAAAUAGUAAAAUGGUUUCUUGAUGAUAACUGAAGAACACUUAUUCCUAGGAUCAUGAAACUUGAUAGGUAGAAUGAUCAUGACUCGCAGAUGACCCCUAUUGAUUUUCAGGUCAUUAGGUCAAAGGUCAAGGUCACGGUGACCCGAAAUAGUAAAAUGGUGUCCGGAUGAUAACUCAAGAAUGCUUAUGGCUAGGAUCAUGAAACUUCAUAGGUACAUUGAUCAUGACUGGCAGAUGACCCCUAUUGAUUUUCAGGUCACUAGGUCAAAGGUCAAGGUCACAGUGACAAAAAACAUAUUCACACAAUGGCUCUCAC